GACAAACGCUGGCGGCGCGCUUAAGCUUAUGCAAGUCGUGCGAUUAAAGCUCCCUUCGGGGAGUGCAUAAAGCGGCGAACGGGUGAGUAACACGUGGGCAACCUACCCUCCGUGUGGGGAAUAACCCGCCGAAAGGCGGGCUAAUACCGCAUACGCUCUCCAGUCGACCUCGCCUGGGGAGGAAAGUCGGCCUCUGCUUGCAUGCUGACGCCGGAGGAGGGGCCCGCGCGCUAUUAGCUAGAUGGUGGGGUAACGGCCUACCAUGGCGAUGAUGGCUAGCCGGCCUUAGAGGGCGUUCGGCCACACAGGGACUGAGACAAGGCCCUGUCCCCUACGGGAGGCGCAGGCGGGAAUUGUUCCCAAUGGGCGCAAGCCUGAGGACGCGACGCCGCGUGAGGGAUGAAGGCCUUCGGGUUGUAAACCUCUGCCGGGAGAGAAGAACGACGGGCGGUUAAUAGCCGCCCGGGCCGACGUUAUCUCCCAAGAAAGCCUCGGCUAACUACGUG
rnacentral:rRNA from 1 species